AGAACUUACCAGGUCUUGACUCCUCUGAAAACCCUAGAGAUAGGGCUUCUCCUUCGGGAGCAGAGUGACAGGUGGUGCAUGGUUGUCGUCAGCUCGUGUCGUGAGAUGUUGGGUUAAGUCCCGCAACGAGCGCAACCCUUGAUCUUAGUUGCCAUCAUUAAGUUGGGCACUCUAAGGUGACUGCCGGUGACAAACCGGAGGAAGGUGGGGAUGACGUCAAAUCAUCAUGCCCCUUAUGACCUGGGCUACACACGUGCUACAAUGGACGGUACAAAGAGCUGCAAGACCGCGAGGUGGAGCUAAUCUCAUAAAACCGUUCUCAGUUCGGAUUGUAGGCUGCAACUCGCCUACAUGAAGCUGGAAUCGCUAGUAAUCGCGGAUCAGCAUGCCGCGGUGAAUACGUUCUCCCGGGC
rnacentral:rRNA from 2 species